rnacentral:rRNA from 1 species
AAUAGAUACCCCGGUAGUCCACGCUGUAAACGAUGAACACUAGGUGUAGGUGAUGUGAAAGUUAUCUGUACCGAAGCCAACGCGUUAAGUGUUCCGCCUGGGGAGUACGGCCGCAAGGCUAAAACUCAAAGGAAUUGACGGGGGCCCGCACAAGCGGCGGAGCAUGCGGAUUAAUUCGAUGCAACGCGAAGAACCUUACCAAGGCUUGACAUGCACGAGAAGCCACCAGAGAUGGUGGUCUCUUUGGACACUCGUGCACAGGUGGUGCAUGGUUGUCGUCAGCUCGUGUCGUGAGAUGUUGGGUUAAGUCCCGCAACGAGCGCAACCCUCGUCCCAUGUUGCCAGCGGGUUAUGCCGGGGACUCAUGGGGGACUGCCGGGGUCAACUCGGAGGAAGGUGGGGAUGACGUCAAAUCAUCAUGCCCCUUAUGUCUUGGGCUUCACGCAUGCUACAAUGGCCGGUACAAAGGGCUGCGAUACCGUAAGGUGGAGCGAAUCCCAAAAAGCCGGUCUCAGUUCGGAUUGGGGU